rnacentral:tRNA from 1 species
GACAAGGUGGCUGAAAGGUAAGGCGACAGACUGCAAAUCUGUUUUUUAUGAGUUCGAAUCUCAUUCUUGUCU